CUCUCACCCCAGGAAGGUGGACUUCUGUAUCUUGUGUGGUGGGCUUUGAAGUACAGCCGGCAGAACCCCCAGGCCCUCUUCUGUCAUCACAGAUUUUUCACAUCCGAUGGCAGCAGUUCAAUGAAAGAACAGAUCAUCCUCUCAACAUUCUGCUAGGAUUGACUGCCUUCACCAUAGGGAUAUAUGCCACAUUCACAGGAGGCCCACUUGCCAGAACUUCUCAUAUAUUGAAAUGUCUCAGCCACCCAAAGAAGGUGGUGAGACUGAGCCCCACAGGUGGAGUGAAUUCCCAAAUCCACGCCCAGCGUGUACCUGGACGGGGCUUAACCCCAGUUAAACAUAUUGAUGUGGGAACAGAGAUGAUACUGAGAGAACAGUGGUUGCCUGACUGAGACACCACUGAUACCCAACUCUUCCAUGUUGCCAAGGUGGGUAAAUGGAGAAAGCAAUGGCACCCCACUCCAGUACUCUUGCCUGGAAAAUCCCAUGGACGGAGGAGCCUGGUAGGCUGCAGUUCAUGGGGUCGCGAAGAGUCGGACACGACUGAGCGACUUCACUUUCACUUUCCACUUUCCUGCAUUGGAGAAGGAAAUGGCAACCCACUCCAGUGUUCUUGCCUGGAGAAUCCCAGGGAUGGGGGAGCCUGGUAGGUUGCCGUCUAUGGGGUCGCACAGAGUCGGAGACGACUGAAGCAACUCAGCAGCAGCAGCAGCAGCAUACAGGUAAAGGCUAAUUUUGAAACAUUUUCAGUUGACAUGCAAAUGAUUUCUGAGCUAUUGAGCUGCACUCAUUAAAAUUGGCAAGAACUGGGGAGAUUCAUUAUAUAUCAUUAUUUUGCACAUCUGUGAAUAUAGUCUACAAAAGAAACAUGAGGUAUAUUCUGUAUUACAUAAGCUUACUUCAGGCUUGCGUACUCAAAGAAAAAGAAAGUUAGUCACUUAGUCAAGUCCAACUGUUUGUAACCCCAUGGACUGUAGCCCACCAGGCUCAUCUGUGGGAUUCUCCAGGCAAGAAUACUGGAGUGGGUUGCCAUUUCCUUCUCUAGGUGAUCUUACCAACCCAGGAAUGAAACCAGGUCUCCCGCAUUGCAGGCAGACUCUUUACCGACUGAGCCACCAGGGAAGCAAGUCAAGUGUAAAAUCUCUGAUCUGUAAGCUGGGAAAAAAAGAUGUCAUAAAAUAAGUCCGUGCAAAAUGGCAAUGUGACGCAAAUGGUAAGAAAAAUUGCAUAUCAGGUGAUUCUCAAACUGGUGGUGAAAUCAGAUAAUGGAAGGAUCUAGAGUCACAGAGCAUCUCUUCAGUGCCUUCUUCCUGAGAUGAGGCUGUGUGAGAUCUGUCUUUCUGCUGGUGGCCGUCCUGCAGAACGCAUACCUGGUCAACAUCCAUGUCAGGCGGAUUUGAAAACAAAGGAAAUACAUGGCAUCAGUUAAGAGAAAGAAAUGUGCUCUGUUGAAGUGUCCUACUGGUACAGCAAUGACAAGAACCAGAAGCUCUGGACACAGCAGUUGGAUAACGCAUGAUUUGCUGGCGGAAGGGCUGCUUGAGGGUGGUUCCCACCACGAGGUUACAGACAUUCAGCCAACCGCCUGGCUCCCGUCUCUUGACCCCUGCCUCCUGCCACUGGCCUGGCCUGGAGAGUCUGUUUUCAUUUUGUUAGACCACCGUUUCUUGUGUGUGCCGCACGUGAAAUGGAACAUCGGGGGAGGCACCACCAGGCGGCGUGAGGCGCAGAAGCAGAACAAGACCGAGGGGUGGGAACUGCAGAAAGGCAACUCUCCCGUGGACGUGAGGCGCCAGUCCAAAACAGCGGCACUACUUUCUAAUCACCAGACUCUCCCGCGUUCCAGACUCAGCUUCCGAGCUGUGACUCCCCGAGUGCGCACGGGUGCACCUGUGUUCCAAAUAAAGCCUCGCCAGCCCGGAGGCCAGGGGGUCGCAUGUUCAGUCCCGUGACAGAAACAAACCUGCGAAGCCCCAGAGAAAACAGUGGGGUCAGGGUCCCCCAUAGCUAACAGUGAGUGAGCGGUCCCCAAACAUAGCAGGGGCCAAUAGGGUCCACUGACUGAAUAAAACACGGUGACCCCAACAUCACAGCAGUGCAGGGGACACUGUCUUAUACUCGGGUUCUGUGCGUCUAUCGAACAUGUGUGUCACCGUCUGUUUUUCAACCUUGUGUUACAAGUCUUGGUGUGUGUGCUAAACACACUGUUGCUCUUCUUCUAGUUAAAAAGAAAAAAAUGUAGUUAACGC
ensembl:lncRNA